CAUUUGCUGAAGUUUGGAGAAAGGCAGGAACCUGUUUUAAUUCCAGUAUUAGGCCAAAGAUGAAACAGCAGAAGACAAAAGCAGCAAAGAGCGCAUCUUUGUCUAACACCACAUCUACCUUCCUGAAGGACCAGGAACGCAGCCCCCUCCACGACACAGCUGUGAAAGCAUACCUCUAAAGCAGGAAUUUUUGGAGAAGCAGUGCAACCAAGCAAUCUGGAGACAGAGAAGAGCCAGCAGAAGGACAGAGUUACUUCAGGGGAUAUAUAGAGAGCUGGCUGGGCCCGCUACCACCACAGAGAGAAGAGUCUGCAGCACAGAUCAGUGAUCAAGACAGCCACGGGGCAGCCACAUCUUCUGCAAUGCCCAUGUCUGCUCAGGAGCUGCAAAAUACUGGAGCUUUUGAGAGUCUCUGAAUUGUCUCUGAAGUUUUUCCUGAGGAGUGUGGCAGUGAUUUCACCAAAGAAAGAAAAACAGGACAAACACAGCCAGGUUAUGGUGCAGUAUUCCUGCUUAAUGCUUCCCUGGCUGUGAGAAGUGACUCAUAUCAGUGCUGCUGAUUUUCUGCUUGGCAUGGAGAUUCUCUGGGCAAUGCAGGAUGUAACAGAGCACACCAACCACUUCCAGUUUCUCUGUUUUGGGAGCACAUCUGAAACAAAUGGCACAGCAACAUCCUCAUUACACCUCUGCUCUCCUCUGCUAUCCACCUGUAGCCACUGUAAAUGCUCUGCCAGUUCAUCCAUGCACCGAGCACUCCAUCAGCAGCCUGCUACUGCCGUGGAUGCAAUCUGAGACAAAGCUGUGCCCUGGUUGGGAUCCCAACCCCACCCUACAAAAAUGCAGCUGGUCCUGCAGAACUGCCUGUACAGCAGGGCUCUUCCCAGCACUGCUGGGCAGGAAAGGAUAACCAUCUCCUCACUCUCGGCAGAGCUGGUUAGGCUGCAAGAGGUCUGGAAUGUGGACAGUGCUGAAAUUAAAGCAGCCAAAAAUAAAGUAAGUAGAAAAAUGGCUUAAAACCAUUUUUGUUCUGACCUUUUUUACUUCCAUCAAGGACUGUUGUGACAAACACCAGGUAAGCAGUCCAUGGCCAGCUAUGCCCUUAAAACAUACAUUACACUCCUGGAUGCCACUCCAGCUCAACAUCAAACUUCUCAGAAGUUUGCUCAGUUGAUGAACAGGAAAAACAGGGCAGAGGAUGGUGCUGGACAAGCAGCUAUGCAAGUCAAGGCAUCCUGGUGCAACCUGGAGGCUUGUGGCUCUGCUUCUGCAGUAGGGAAGAAAUCUGUUUAGCUAUGUAAAUAAGAUGCAUAAAUAAAUAAAUAAGAAUAGGAGUGGGCUGAAAAAAAGCACCCAGACCCUGGCCUCUUCAGUAUCUUGCAGGUCGCUUAGCAACAGGCUAGCUGCUGCAGGGUAAAAGAGCAUGAAAUCAGCAUCUUUUCAGCAAAAGACAAAUUGAAUGGAAAUGUGGGGAGGUGGCCUUUUCCUGGCAGCAGUGAGGAAAGAAGUUACUGGUGAAUCUGAUCCUGUGGGCAUCCUUUUGGAGGGGUUCCUGAAUGCAGGGAUUAUUAAUUAACGUGGCUGAGAGGCUUCAUCCUGCCAGGAAACUGAUAAAUUCCAGAGCACGCCUGGGAAACCAAUAAUUCCAUCUUGAUUAAAAUUUUGUCAGUUACAGUCACCUCCUGGGUUAAUUACUUAUUAACCAUCUUAAAUAGCUCAAACCAAAUUCUGUCAGACUCCCCUGGCUAUGUUGGUGCCAGCUGACCAUAGAGCAUGUUUUCAAUGGCAGUUACUUUAAACCAUUUCUUCAGCAUUGCAUGUUCAAGUUUUAUCUCCAUGCCAUCUCUGCAUUCACUAAAGGAACAUGCACCCUGUGAAUCUUUAAGUAACUGAAUCCCAGCAAUACAAAUCCACUUAUUCUAGGCAGGCAAUUCCUCUGAACCUGACUGCUUCUUCAGCCUUCUGGAACGACCUCGUGUGGGCACAGAAGAGGAUCAUUAUGUCGACAGCAGCUAUUAGAGAGAACUGAGCUAUGAGAGCAGCAAGAACAACAUGUGGACAUUUUGUGGAGGACUUAAAUGAGAGUUCUGAAUGAAAGAUUUUUCUGGGUCACCUAAUCUGGGCCUGGAGUGUACCAGUUGAUUGUUUUCCACUGCUAAAUGUAGCUGGAUCAUGGCAGCAAGGCACAACCAGGGACCUUUGUGGCACAUGAUCCACUUAGAGGUGGUGUGGGAUGGUGGUUGGGUCAGCAGAGAGGCUAAGUGGCUUGUCUAGGAAUCCAACAGGAGGAGCAAAGGGAAAAUACAGUGGCUUUGCUCCCUGCUUUAUACACACACAAAGCAGUAAUAACUCAUUUUACUCCUUAUUUACAGAUAACUUGUACUUGGGUAGCACUUCAGCAACAGUGAAAAAUCAGCUGGGGGCUAUAAGUGAACCAAAUUUGCUUGGAGCAGGGAAACUUCUCACCUGCAUUUUAUCCUUCUGAGUUCCCCAUCACAGCACAUAAUCUUUCCUGUGAUGGAUGGAAGGUUUAGAAGACAUCCCCAGUUCCAUAGGCAGGAAAUUACAUAGUAUAGAACAAGAUGGCUGCUUUCAAUCCUUACAACUUCAAAAAUUACUUCUGUGUCCUUGGGAGCUGCACACAGAGACAUUUGGCAAUAUUUUGUUUCCCUCCUUGUCUGGGGCUGAAAGGAAGGCGAUUGUGGCUCAGUGAGGAACACUUAGAUGAGCUACCCUCCAUUUCCUUAAUGAGCCUAUUAAGUGACUCAUCAAAGGUGUAACGACCAGUCUCAGAAGGGAGAGGCACACAGAAGUAACUGACUGCACUGAGAUAUUCCUAGUGCACACAAAACAACUACAGUAUAUGCUACAAGAGUUAAUUUGGAAUAAUGUGAUUCCAGUGCUAGGGAAGUACAAAGAUGGAAAACACCUUGGCAAUUUUCCUUUUUGCAGGCUGGAAUGAGGGAUGACAAAAUCCUGCUGUGACACCUCCAUCUCUGGGGUAUUUGCAGAGUCAAGCACCUGGUGGAACUGUUCCUGCUCCCUGAGCCUGAGCAAAAUCUGUGACUUAAGGAGGAGAAACUUGGUUUAGGACACGAGAACCAAAGACCAUAUCAAAAUUCAAACGGAAUUUUAUUCUCUGCUUUCCUAAAUGAGUCCUUGAAGGUGUGCAUGCCAGAAUUUAAUCUUUCCAAGGAGAUUUAAAAGUACUGCUGUAUUCACUCAAAUACACCAGGCAUACAGCAACCAGCUCACGUCACUCUCCACCACACUGGAUUUUAUUUACAAGGUUAACUAUGAUCCACUGUUGCCCAUUUUCCAGAAUCUUGUGUUCUGAUUGUUUAUUAAGAGUGGAGCAAGGGAAGCAGGAAGAGCAAAUAGCAUCAAUAAUGCUUAGGAGACUGAAAGAGAAGAUGUACUAAAACACAUGCCUAUUUCUCCUGAAAUGCCAUUUUAUGUCAACUGCCAUGGUUUCCAGGCUGUCAGAAUUGAAUUAUAUUGUAAUUACAUCCUAUUUGGACAAGGUCACAAGAAUAAAAGCUUAGUACUUUCCUCCAUUGCAGGUGCUUUAUGUUCUUACACUCCUGCAGCAGACAAGCCUCCUUUUCUAAUGGCAACAAAUUUGCCUUCAGCAUAAAAUGCUGGUUUAAGUCCGUCCAUUAGUGCAAGGUGAGGCACAUUAAAAACUUAAGAGCCAUCAUUACUGAUCUUUCUGAGAAACACCCCAGAGCACAGAUGUCUAUAUUCUCUUCCUAAUCCUUACA